CACACACACACACACACACACAAACACACACACACACACACACACACACACACACACAAACACACUGACAAGCAAACAAUCCCUCCCACACACAGACACAGACACAGAGGCUGAGACAGGCGGAGCUGAGGUGUGAGGACCGGGGACUGUCCGGUGAGACUCGGUGUGAGGACCGGGGACUGUCCGGUGAGACUCGGUGUGAGGACCGGGGACUGUCCGGUGAGACUCGGUGUGAGGACCGGGGACUGUCCGGUGAGACUCGGUGUGAGGACCGGGCCAUGUGGGCAGAAGAUGGGGGAAGAAACAAGAGUUUCUCCGCUGAAGAACUUCGUGGCCGGAGGAGUAGGUGGAGCGUGUCUGCUGCUGGCUGGACACCCGCUGGACACCAUCAAGGUGAGGCUACAAACACAGCCCAAAGCCUCCUGCUCUCAGUAUGUCCUCUACACAGGAACAUAUGACUGCUUCCGCAAGACUGUGUCCAAAGAGGGUGUCCUCGGCCUCUACAGGGGAAUGGGGGCGCCGCUGGCGGGCGUGGCUCCGAUGAUGGCCAUCAGUUUCUUCGGCUUCGGUCUGGGGAAACAGCUCCAGCAGACGGAUCCCGGCCAACUUCUAACGCCCUCUCAGGUCUUCCUGGCUGGAUGUCUGGCAGGCGUCUUCACCACAGUGAUCGUGGCUCCAGGAGAGAGGAUCAAGUGUUUACUGCAGGUGCAGGCGAGCAGCGGUCAGUCCCGGUACUCGGGUCCAGUGGACUGUGGGCUCCGGCUCUACAGGGAGCAGGGGCUCCGCGGCGUCUACAAAGGGACGCUGCUCACUCUGAUCAGAGACGUGCCUUCUAAUGGUCUCUACUUCCUCACAUAUCAAUACCUCAAACACUUCCUGACACCUGAGGGUCAAAGUGUUUCUCAGCUGAGCACUCCCAGAAUCCUCCUGGCCGGGGGCGUCGCCGGAAUUUUGAACUGGACGAUCGCUCUCCCCCCCGACGUCCUCAAGUCCAACUUCCAGACAGGUCUGAGUCGACCUGAAGCUCCUCAUACACAACACGUCCUCUGCUGCAUGCAUGUUAACUCACCUGGUUCUUCUGCUGAAGGACGACAACCAAAUGUUCAUUAUUAUCAAUACUGAUCUCACUGUGAUCCUCACAUGUUCCUCACAUGUUCCUGAUUUGUUCCUGACGUGUUCUGCUGGUUCUGGAUGUGGUAACUAAUGUCUGAGUCAGUGUCUCUGGAGAAGUUCUGGAUCUUCUCCUGCAGCCUCCUGGUAAAAUGUGUGUAACAUGUCAGAGUGAGUCCAUGUGAGGAACCAGCAGGACGAUGUGUGGAAGCUUCCCAGUGAGCGAGUGGACGUGUUGAUGAGGUUUCUAACACGUGACGUGAAACCUGAAGAACACAAACAUCUCAGGAUGAAGAAGAGGAGCCGGACACGUAGAAGAUGAAGACGUCCACUUGGAAACACGAGGAGAUUCCAGAUCUUCUGGCUCCGCCUCCUGCUGCUCUACAGGCUCCGCCCCUCGCCUGGAUGUCCCCCACAGGUUCCUGUUUGAAUGAGUCGGACCCAACAACCUGCUGGGGCUUCAAACACACAGCAACUACACAACAUGUACACACACUUGAUGUCUGAAAUCUCUUCACGUACAGGAAGCGGGAGAGAGGGUUUACUUUCAUCUAACUUUGUUGUGUGUGUAUGUGUCUGUGUGUUUGUGUGUGUGUGUGUGUGUGUGUGUGUGUGUGUGUGUGUGUGUGUGUGUGUGUGUGUGUGUGUGUGUGUGUGUGUGUAGCUGCAGAGGGGAAGUACAGAGGACUUGUGGACGUCCUGAGAACGCUGCUGCGUGAGGAAGGCCCCAGGGCGCUCUAUAAGGGAUUCAACCCCGUCUUCCUCCGAGCCUUCCCUGCCAACGCGGCCUGUUUCUUGGGCUUUGAAGUGGCUC